GGGGGCGACCUGGCUUCGACGGCGGUUGCAAAGCAAUGUAGUGCAUACCGAGGACCAGUGACCUCGCAAAUCCAUCUGGAAAACAUAUAGUUGCCAACGACGACAACUACGCCCUAGCCGCUUGACGGCUAGGCUCUGCACCAGUUGGUCUCUGGGUUGGAGUCUGGGAAACCAGAUCGCAGAGUCAUUUACAGGGACUCGCACGCCAGAUGGGGCUUCUUCAUCGGCUGCUAAAACCAAGGAAGCUCGCCCAAGCGCAGUUCGUCGGUUGACGGCGUGAAGGUUAAAUCCAAAGAGCCAGACUAAGUAUGUAGAUCUGCUUGUAGAGGACUUCCGGACGCGGGUUCGAUUCCCGCCGCCUCCACCA
rnacentral:tmRNA from 1 species